UACGAAGGUCCCGAGCGUUGUUCGGAAUCACUGGGCGUAAAGGGAGCGUAGGCUGCGCGGUCAGUCAGGUGUGAAAUCCCGGGGCUCAACCCCGGAACUGCACCCGAUACUGCCGUGCUUGAGGGUUGGAGAGGUAGCUGGAAUUCUCGGUGUAGCAGUGAAAUGCGUGGAUAUCGAGAGGAACACUCGUGGCGAAGGCGAGCUACUGGACAACAUCUGACGCUGAGGCUCGAAGGCCAGGGGAGCAAAAGGG
rnacentral:rRNA from 1 species